AAGAUUACAUUUUUCUGGGGGGGUUAACAAGGCACGAGUAAAAUGUCUAACGAAGAAGGCAAGCGCAAACAAUAAUCUCGUUAAUCAUCAACUCUAUCCUCAACUUCAUUGACUUCCUCUUCAGCUUGUGCAUCUUCAUUUUCGUUAUCCGAGGGUUGUUCUUUCAUCUUACCCUUCCCAUUUUCCACAGGCUCUUUCAGCUUGGCCUUUUUGUUAGAUUCUGGGGACUUAGAUGACGUUGACUUCCUUUUAGAGUUCUUCUCUCUGAAUCCCUCAAGAGAAGCUU
rnacentral:misc_RNA from 1 species